rnacentral:rRNA from 1 species
AAAAGAACUUUGAAGAGAGAGUUCAAAAGGGCAUGAAACCCUUAAGAGGUAAAUGGGUGGGGUCUGCACAGUCCGCCCAAAGGAUUCAACCCAGUGGUUGAAUCCGGCUGUGCCGGUGGUCUCCUGGCAGAUCUUUCUUGCCUCUCAUUCCUCCCGACCCCUUCACCCAUCUGCCCACCCACCCGCUGCCACCCCUCCUCCCUUCCCGGAGGGGAGUACGCUCUGGAGGGUGCAUGGGACGGGUGGGCAGGUCCAGGUGUGGGUGUGGGGCGGGUAGGGUACCACCCAGUGGAUGUUGACCUGCAGCCUCCAGGCGCAUUUCCACUGCGGUGCACCAGGACUGGCUCCGGACAUCUGGGAAGGCCUCUUGGGGAAGGUGGCUUGGGGGAGAGUCCCCCUGCCUUCGUUAUUCCCACGGCGUGUGGCAGGAGUCAGUCCCCCCCCCCCCCCAAGUGUUACAGCCACCUGGCAGAGCAGCUCGCCAAAUCCUGGGGUUGAGGGAGCCAGACCCAUCACUGUGCUCUCCCUGCUCCUGGCGCCCACCCACAGCAGAAGUCUUUCCCACGAGGGGGAGCCCACCUCUGAGACUCGAAUGCUGCUAUUCCCUGGGGGGCUGGACUGCCCCUCCCAUGGCGUGACCACUCUCCCACUCCUGCCUCUCCUUCCCCGCAGGGAGUGAUGGGGCAGGGCGGACUGUCCCCAUUGCACCCCAUGUGGUCCUGCCGUGGGGCCUGACCCAUCUUGAAAGACAGACCAAUGAAUCUAACUCGUGAGCAAGUGGAGGGCUCCCUCAAAUGCCGCUGAGGCACAAUGAAGGUGAAGGCAGGUGUUUUCAGCGGCGUGCCACAGAGGGAGGGUGAGUGGGGUGGGUCCAGGGCAGGGUGGAUGGUGGCACGACCAUGCACCCUCCUGUCUGCCCCUCACCCGAUUCUCUCUCCUUCCCCCUCCUUUUCCCAGUGCUCCACCUCGCCGGCCCAAGGAGGGAUCCUGAGGCCUCUCCAGUCCUCCCCCAAAAGAUGGUGAACUAUUCCUGGGCAGGGCGAAGCCAGGGGAAACUCUGGUGGAAGUUUGUAGUGGUCUUGACGUGCAAAUCUGUUGUCCGACCUGGGUAUAGGGGCGAAAGACUAAUUGAACCAUCUAAUAGCUGGUUCCCUCCGAAGGUUCCCUCAGAAUAGCUGGCGCUCUCAAAAACCACAAUGAAGUUUUAUCCUGUAAAGUGAAUGAUUAGAGGUCUUGAGGCCAAAACCGUCUCAACCUAUUCUCAAACUUUAAAUGGGUAAGAAUCCCAGCUCGCUGGUGUGGAGCCAGGCAUGGAAUGCGAGUGCCUAGUGUGCCACUUUUGGUAAGCAGAACUGGCCCUGCGGGAUGAACCAAAUGCCGGGUUAAGGCGCCCGAUGCCGACGCUCAUCAGACCCCAGAAAAGGUGUUGGUUGACAUAGACAGCAGGAUGUUGGCCAUGGAAGUCGGAAUCUGCUAAGGAGUGUGUAACAACUCACCUGCCUAAUCAACUAGCCCUGAAAAUGGAUGGUGCUGGAGCAUCCGGACCAUACCUGGCCGUCGCUAGCAGUGGGAUCUACACAGGAGCAAGAAGGGGAAUCUGCGUGGGGGGUUGCCCCUUCCCCUCACCGCCCUCCCCAUGUGUGUCGCCCUGCAGACACUAGCCAUGGCGAGCAGGAGGGCUGCUGCGGUGAGCCUUGAAGCCUAGGGUGUGGGCCCGGGUGGAGCCGCCGCAGGUGCCGAUCUUGGUGGUAGUAGCAAAUAUUCAAACAAGAACUUUGAAGGCAGAAGUGGAGAAGGAUUCCAUGUGAACAGCAGUUGAAUAUGAAUCAAUUGGUCCUGAGAGAUGGGCUAGCGCCAUUCCGAAGGGACAGGUGAUGGUCUCCGUUGCCCUCAGCCUGUCAAAAGGGAGUCUGGUUCAGAUCUCCGAAUUCAGAGUGGCAGAGAUGGUCAUGGCGAGGCAUCCAGUGUGGUAACGCNNNNNNNNNNNNNNNNNNNNNNNNNNNNN